rnacentral:rRNA from 1 species
UACGUAGGCAGCAAGCGUUGUUCGGAAUUACUGGGCUUAAAGGGUGCGUAGGCGGCGCAGAAAGUUGGGUGUGAAAUACCUCGGCUCAACCGAGGAACUGCGCCCAAAACUGCUGUGCUCGAGGAAGAUAGAGGUGAGCGGAACUUACGGUGGAGCGGUGAAAUGCGUUGAUAUCGUAAGGAACACCUGUGGCGAAAGCGGCUCACUGGGUCUUUUCUGACGCUGAUGCACGAAAGCUAGGGGAGCAAACGGG